GACGAACGCUGGCGGCGUGCUUAACACAUGCAAGUCGAACGGAAAGGCCCUGCUUUUGUGGGGUGCUCGAGUGGCGAACGGGUGAGUAACCCGUGAGUAACCUGCCCUUGACUUUGGGAUAACUUCAGGAGACUGGGGCUCAUACCGGAUAGGAGCUCCUGCUGCAUGGUGGGGGUUGGAAAGUUUCGGCGGUUGGGGAUGGACUCGCGGCUUAUCAGCUUGUUGGUGGGGUAGUGGCUUACCAAGGCUUUGACGGGUAGCCGGCCUGAGAGGGUGACCGGCCACAUUGGGACUGAGAUACGGCCCAGACUCCUACGGGAGGCAGCAGUGGGGAAUAUUGCACAAUGGGCGGAAGCCUGAUGCAGCAACGCCGCGUGCGGGAUGACGGCCUUCGGGUUGUAAACCGCUUUCGCCUGUGACGAAGCGUGAGUGACGGUAAUGGGUAAAGAAGCACCGGCUAACUACGUG
rnacentral:rRNA from 1 species